rnacentral:rRNA from 1 species
GGUUUGGGCGGCAGCUACACAUGCAAGUCGAACGGUAACAGGAAGCAAGCUUGCUGCUUCGCUGACGAGUGGCGGACGGGUGAGUAAUGUCUGGGAAACUGCCUGAUGGAGGGGGAUAACUACUGGAAACGGUAGCUAAUACCGCAUAACGUCGCAAGACCAAAGAGGGGGACCUUCGGGCCUCUUGCCAUCGGAUGUGCCCAGAUGGGAUUAGCUAGUAGGUGGGGUAACGGCUCACCUAGGCGACGAUCCCUAGCUGGUCUGAGAGGAUGACCAGCCACACUGGAACUGAGACACGGUCCAGACUCCUACGGGAGGCAGCAGUGGGGAAUAUUGCACAAUGGGCGCAAGCCUGAUGCAGCCAUGCCGCGUGUAUGAAGAAGGCCUUCGGGUUGUAAAGUACUUUCAGCGGGGAGGAAGGGAGUAAAGUUAAUACCUUUGCUCAUUGACGUUACCCGCAGAAGAAGCACCGGCUAACUCCGUGCCAGCAGCCGCGGUAAUACGGAGGGUGCAAGCGUUAAUCGGAAUUACUGGGCGUAAAGCGCACGCAGGCGGUUUGUUAAGUCAGAUGUGAAAUCCCCGGGCUCAACCUGGGAACUGCAUCUGAUACUGGCAAGCUUGAGUCUCGUAGAGGGGGGUAGAAUUCCAGGUGUAGCGGUGAAAUGCGUAGAGAUCUGGAGGAAUACCGGUGGCGAAGGCGGCCCCCUGGACGAAGACUGACGCUCAGGUGCGAAAGCGUGGGGAGCAAAACAGGAUUAGAUACCCUGGUAGUCCACGCCGUAAACGAUGUCGACUUGUAGGUUGUGCCCUUGAGGCGUGGCUUCCUGGAGCUAACGCGUUAAGUCGACCGCCUGGGGGAGUACGGCCGCAAGGUUAAAACUCAAAUGAAUUGACUGGGGCCCGCACAAGCCGGGGAAUCUGUGGUUUAAUUCUAUGCAACGCGAAGAACCUUACCUGUCCUUGACAUCCACGAAGUUUGCACACAUAAAAUGUUCCCCUGCGCACCGAGAGACAGGGCCUCCUGGUUUCGCC